GAAUUGCGGCAGCCUACCAUGCAGUCGAGCGGAUGACGGGAGCUUGCUCCUUGAUUCGACGGCGGACGGGUGAGUGAGGCCUAUGAAUCUGCCUGGUAGUGGGGGACGGCGAUUCUAGGGAACGCUAAUACCGAAUACGUCCUACGGCAGAAAACAAGAGACCUUCAGGCCUUGCGCUAUCGCAUGAACCUGUGUCGGAUUAGCUAGUUGGUGGGGUAGGGGCUCACCCACGCGACGAUCCAUAACUGGUCUGAGAGGAAGAUCAAUCACACUGGAACUGAAACACAGACCAGACUCCUACCGGAGGCAGCAGUGGGGAAUAUUGAACAAUGGGCGAAAGCCUGAUCCAGCCAUGCCCCGUGUGUGUGUAAGGUCUUCGGAUUGUAAAUCACUUUAAUUUGGGAGGAAGGGCAGUGAGUUGAUACCUUGCUGUUUUGACGUUACCGACACAAUAAGCACCGGCUAACUCUGUGCCAGCGCCCGCGGUAAUACAAAGGGUGCAAGCGUUAAUCGGAAUUACUGGGCGUAAAGCGCGCGUAGGUGGUUCGUUCUGUUGGAUGUGAUGCCCCUCCCUCAACCUGGGAACUGCAUCCUAAACUGGCGAGCUAGAGUACGGUAGAGGGUGGGGGAAUUUCCUGUGUAGUGGUGAAAUGCGUAGAUAUAAGAUGGAACACCAUUGGCGAAGGCGACCACCUGCACUGAUACUGACACUGAGCUGCGAAGGCAUGGCGAGCAGACAAGAUUAGAUACCAUGCUAGUCCACGCCGCACACGAUGUCAUCUAGACGUUGGAAUCGUUCAUAUUUUACUGGCGCAGCUGAUGCAUUACGUUGACCGCCUGGUGAGUACAGCCGCGACGUUAAGACUCAACUGAAUUGACGUGGGCCCGCCCCACCCGUGGAGCAUGUGGUGUAAUUCAUUUCAACGCGACGAACAUUACCAUGUCUUGUCGUGCUGACACUUUCCUUAGAUGAAGUGCUGUCUUCCUCGAGUCUGAUCCAAGAGCUGCGUGGCUGUCGUCAGCUCGUGUCGUGAUAAGAUGUGUUGAGUCCCGUCACGAGCCGCAGCCCUUGUC
rnacentral:rRNA from 1 species